GACGAACGCUGGCGGCGUGCCUAAUACAUGCAAGUUGAGCGCUGAAGGUUGGUACUUGUCCCGACUGGAUGAGCAGCGAACGGGUGAGUAACGCGUGGGGAAUCUGCCUUUGAGCGGGGGACAACAUUUGGAAACGAAUGCUAAUACCGCAUAAAAACUUUAAACACAAGUUUUAAGUUUGAAAGAUGCAAUUGCAUCACUCAAAGAUGAUCCCGCGUUGUAUUAGCUAGUUGGUGAGGUAAAGGCUCACCAAGGCGAUGAUACAUAGCCGACCUGAGAGGGUGAUCGGCCACAUUGGGACUGAGACACGGCCCAAACUCCUACGGGAGGCAGCAGUAGGGAAUCUUCGGCAAUGGGCGAAAGUCUGACCGAGCAACGCCGCGGGAGUGAAGAAGGGUUUCGGAUCGUAAAACUCUGUUGGUAGAGAAGAACGUUGGUGAGAGUGGAAAGCUCAUCAAGUGACGGUAACUACCCAGAAAGGGACGGCUAACUACGUG
rnacentral:rRNA from 1 species